UCUCCUCCUCCUUCUCCUGCUCCUUCUCCUUCUCGUCUUCCAGCGAGAAAGCAGCGAGCGCGAGUCGCGAGAGAGGAGGAGGAGGAGGAGGUAAAGGUGGAGGAGA
rnacentral:miRNA from 1 species